rnacentral:lncRNA from 1 species
UCUUGUACUCAAGUAUGAAUCACAAGAUAGGAGAUUUCAUAUGUAGGAAAAAUGGUUCGUCUCCUAGCUUAGAAACAUGCGGGGUAUUACAAACUCCCUCGGUAAAAAAAUUAUGUUGUAUAUAUAAGGUAGAAAAUCUAUAUUUAUGUACGUAUAUUAAUGUUGAACCACAUGAAACAAGGUACGUAGAUAGCGUAGUGGUGUUAUUUGCUCUUCUUGGGCGCUUCCUUCAGCCUACUGCGCGGGUUCGAU